ACAAUGUAGCUGAUCUCGGGAUUCAUAUUGUGUUCCUCCAGUUAUUUUGCAUCGUUUGAUCUUUUGUGUCUAUAUACUCCCCCUGAAAAUCUACAACCAAGAACAUUUGUUUGUGUCAGACAUCUUUAAUAACUGACGUGGAAGUAUUGACAGUUCUCCACAAGCUAAUUGUUUGAUGUGAU